GACGAACGCUGGCGGCGUGCUUAACACAUGCAAGUCGAACGAUGAAGCCUAGCUUGCUAGGUGGAUUAGUGGCGAACGGGUGAGUAAUACGUGAGUGACCUACCUUUGACUCUGGGAUAAGCCUGGGAAACUGGGUCUAAUACCGGAUACGACCAAUCUCCGCAUGGGGUGUUGGUGGAAAGCGUUAUGGAGUGGUUUUAGAUGGGCUCACGGCCUAUCAGCUUGUUGGUGAGGUAAUGGCUUACCAAGGCGACGACGGGUAGCCGGCCUGAGAGGGUGACCGGCCACACUGGGACUGAGACACGGCCCAGACUCCUACGGGAGGCAGCAGUGGGGAAUAUUGCACAAUGGGCGCAAGCCUGAUGCAGCGACGCCGCGUGAGGGAUGACGGCCUUCGGGUUGUAAACCUCUGUUAGCAUCGAAGAAGCGAAAGGACGGUAGGUGCAGAGAA
rnacentral:rRNA from 1 species